AGGAUGAACGCUGGCGGUGUGCUUAAUACAUGCAAGUCGAGCGGUAAGGCCUCUUCGGAGGUACACGAGCGGCGGACGGCUGAGUAACGCGUAGGAAUCUACCCCGAACUGAGGAAUAAGCACCAGAAAUGGUGUCUAAUGCCGCAUAUGCUCUUAGGAGUAAAGCUUCGGCGGUUUGGGAAGAGCCUGCGUCCGAUUAGCUUGUUGGUAAGGUAACGGCUUACCAAGGCGACGAUCGGUAGCUGGUCUGAGAGGAUGAUCAGCCACACUGGGACUGAGACACGGCCCAGACUCCUACGGGAGGCAGCAGUGGGGAAUAUUGGACAAUGGGCGCAAGCCUGAUCCAGCAAUGCCGCGUGGGUGAAGAAGGUUUUUCGGAUUGUAAAGCCCUUUUGGCGGGACGAUGAUGACGGUACCCGCAGAUAAGCCCCGGCUAACUUCGUGCCAGCAGCCGC
rnacentral:rRNA from 1 species